AUUUAUAUAGUAUAAAUAUUAUUUUUGAUUUCCAAUCAAAAGAUCUAACAUUAGUAUAAAUA
rnacentral:tRNA from 1 species